rnacentral:rRNA from 1 species
GCUUACCAUGCAGUCGAGGGGCAGCACGGGAGUAGCAAUACAACUGGUGGCGACCGGCGCACGGGUGAGUAACGCGUAUGCAACCUACCUAUCAGAGGGGAAUAACCCGGCGAAAGUCGGACUAAUACCGCAUAAAACAGGGGCACCGCAUGGUGAUAUUUGUUAAAGAAAUUCGCUGAUAGAUGGGCAUGCGUUCCAUUAGGUAGUUGGUGAGGUAACGGCUCACCAAGCCGACGAUGGAUAGGGGAACUGAGAGGUUGGUCCCCCACACUGGUACUGAGACACGGACCAGACUCCUACGGGAGGCAGCAGUGAGGAAUAUUGGUCAAUGGGCGGGAGCCUGAACCAGCCAAGUCGCGUGAAGGAAGAAGGAUCUAUGGUUCGUAAACUUCUUUUGCAGGGGAAUAAAGUGCAGGACGUGUCCUGUUUUGUAUGUACCCUGAGAAUAAGGAUCGGCUAACUCCGUGCCAGCAGCCGCGGUAAUACGGAGGAUCCGAGCGUUAUCCGGAUUUAUUGGGUUUAAAGGGUGCGUAGGUGGUUUGAUAAGUCAGCGGUGAAAGUUUGCAGCUUAACUGUAAAAAUGCCGUUGAAACUGUCGGACUUGAGUGUAAAUGAGGUAGGCGGAAUGCGUGGUGUAGCGGUGAAAUGCAUAGAUAUCACGCAGAACUCCGAUUGCGAAGGCAGCUUACUAAGCUACAACUGACACUGAAGCACGAAAGCGUGGGGAUCAAACAGGAUUAGAUACCCUGGUAGUCCACGCAGUAAACGAUGAUUACUAGCUGUUUGCGAUACACAGUAAGCGGCACAGCGAAAGCGUUAAGUAAUCCACCUGGGGAGUACGCCGGCAACGGUGAAACUCAAAGGAAUUGACGG